rnacentral:rRNA from 1 species
GACGAACGCUGGCGGCGCGCUUAACACAUGCAAGUCGAACGGAAAGGCCUGCUUUCCCUUGUGGAUUGCGGGUACUCGAGUGGCGAACGGGUGAGUAACACGUGAGUGAUCUGCCCCCAACUUGGGUAUAAGCCUGGGAAACUGGGUCUAAUUCCCGAUAGGACUGCAGGGUGGUGCCUGUGGUGGAAAACGAUUUUCUAGUGGUUGGGGAUGAGCUCGCGGCCUAUCAGCUUGUUGGUGGGGUAAUGGCAUACCAAGGCGGCGACGGGUAGCCGGCCUGAGAUGGUGGACGGCCACAUUGGGACUGAGAUACGGCCCCGACUGCUACGGGAGGCAGCAGUGGGGAAUAUUGCACAAUAGGCGGAAGCCUGAUGCAGCGACGCCGCGUGGGGGAUGACGGCCUUCGGGUUGUAAACUCCUUUCGACCGCGAGGAAGCCACCUGGUUGGAAGGGUGGUGACGGUAGUGGUAGAAGAAGCACCGGCUAACUACGUG